AAUAAUCUAGUUAAUUUAUAACAUAAGAAUGUCAAUCUUAAAUUACUUUAAGUGUUUAUUA
rnacentral:tRNA from 1 species